rnacentral:rRNA from 1 species
GAUGAACGCUGGCGGCGUGCUUAACACAUGCAAGUCGAACGAUGAAGCUCAGCUUGCUGGGUGGAUUAGUGGCGAACGGGUGAGUAACACGUGAGUAACCUGCCCUUAACUCUGGGAUAAGCCUGGGAAACUAGGUCUAAUACCGGAUAGGAGCGCCUACCGCAUGGUGGGUGUUGGAAAGAUUUAUCGGUUUUGGAUGGACUCGCGGCCUAUCAGCUUGUUGGUGAGGUAAUGGCUCACCAAGGCGACGACGGGUAGCCGGCCUGAGAGGGUGACCGGCCACACUGGGACUGAGACACGGCCCAGAAUCCUACGGGAGGCAGCAGUGGGGAAUAUUGCACAAUGGGCGAAAGCCUGAUGCAGCGACGCCGCGUGAGGGAUGACGGCCUUCGGGUUGUAAACCUCUUUCAGUAGGGAAGAAGCGAAAGUGACGGUACCUGCAGAAGAAGCACCGGCUAACUACGUG